rnacentral:tRNA from 1 species
CGUCCAAUAUAGUUAAGCUGUCCGCUUUGUAAGCGGAUGGUCAUGGGUUCGAUUCCCAUUUGCUCCA